rnacentral:rRNA from 1 species
AUUGAACGCUGGCGGCAUGCCUUACACAUGCAAGUCGAACGGUAACAGGUCUUCGGAUGCUGACGAGUGGCGAACGGGUGAGUAAUACAUCGGAACGUGCCCGAUCGUGGGGGAUAACGAAGCGAAAGCUUUGCUAAUACCGCAUAAGAUCUACGGAUGAAAGCAGGGGACCGCAAGGCCUUGCGCGAACGGAGCGGCCGAUGGCAGAUUAGGUAGUUGGUGGGAUAAAAGCUUACCAAGCCGAUGAUUUGUAGCUGGUCUGAGAGGACGACCAGCAACACUGGGACGGAGACACGGCCCAGACUCCUACGGGAGGCAGCAGUGGGGAAUUUUGGACAAUGGGCGAAAGCCUGAUCCAGCCAUGCCGCGUGCAGGAUGAAGGCCUUCGGGUUGUAAACUGCUUUUGUACGGAACGAAAAGACUCUUUCUAAUAAAGAGGGUCCAUGACGGUACCGUAAGAAUAAGCACCGGCUAACUACGUGCCAGCAGCCGCCGUAA